GGAGUUAGCCGGUGCUUCUUCUGUGAGUGAUGUCCUUCCUGCCGGCUAUUAACCCGCAGGCCUUCUUCCUCACUGAAAGUGCUUUACAACCCGAAGGCCUUCUUCACACACGCGGCAUGGCUGGAUCAGGGUUGCCCCCAUUGUCCAAUAUUCCCCACUGCUGCCUCCCGUAGGAGUCUGGGCCGUGUCUCAGUCCCAGUGUGGCUGAUCAUCCUCUCAGACCAGCUACGGAUCGUCGCCUUGGUGAGCCGUUACCUCACCAACCAGCUAAUCCGACAUAGGCUCAUCCGAUAGCGCGAGGCCCGAAGGUCCCCCGCUUUCCCCCGUAGGGCGUAUGCGGUAUUAGCCUGGGUUUCCCCAGGGUUAUCCCCCACUACCGGGCAGAUUCCUAUGCAUUACUCACCCGUCCGCCGCUCGCCACCAGGGAGCAAGCUCCCCGUGCUGCCGCUCGACUUGCAUGUGUUAGGCUCGCCGCCACGCGUUCAUCUGAGCCAGAAUACAACUACUGA
rnacentral:rRNA from 1 species